UACGGAGGGGGCUAGCGUUGUUCGGAAUUACUGGGCAUAAAAAAUGCAUAGGUGGUUUGUUAAGUCAGGGGUGAAAUCCCGCGGCCCAACCGUGGAACUGCCUUUGAUACUGGCGAACUUGAGUGCGUGAGGGGUAGGGGGAACGAGCAGUGUAGCGGUGAAAUGCGUAGAUAUUGCUCGGAAGGCCAGAGCCGAAGGGGCCCUACUGGUGCGUAACUGACACUGAGGCACGAAAGCGUGGGGAGCAAACAGG
rnacentral:rRNA from 1 species